UACAGAGGUCUCAAGCGUUGUUCGGAUUCAUUGGGCGUAAAGGGUGCGUAGGUGGCGCUGUAAGUCGGGUGUGAAAUUUCGGAGCUUAACUCCGAAACUGCAUUCGAUACUGCGGUGCUUGAGGACUGGAGAGGAGACUGGAAUUCAUGGUGUAGCAGUGAAAUGCGUAGAUAUCUGGAGGAACACCGGUGGCGAAGGCGGCAUCCUGGACCAACACUGACGCUGAGUGAGCGAAAGCCAGGGGAGCAAACGGG
rnacentral:rRNA from 1 species